UGGGACGGGAUCUCAAUCCCUUUACUGCACCUAUUCCCUCCAUCAUGAAUUUCCUCACCUCCCUAUUCACAGCCGGAAAAUCAUACCGAUCUAUCAAUGUGAUAUGUUCAGCCAUUUCAGCGGCCCACACGCCGACUCAAGGGACACCUGUUGGUCAGGACCCACUCAUCUGUAGACUCCUCCGCGGCAUGCACCUUCGGCGCCCCCCGGAACCCAAAUACUCAAGACUUUGGGACGUUGGCAUUGUCUUACAGUUUUUACGGGACUGGCCUCCUAA